GUUAGAAUAGCUUAGUUGGUUAAAGAGUGUGGCUGUCAAUCACAAGAUGGGAGAUUCCAAGCUCUCCUUCUAGAG
rnacentral:tRNA from 1 species